GCAUAAUACCCGUUCGCCGGUGCCUUUCGGGGCCUAAGAGGGAACACACAUCACUGCGAUGACCGUGACUGCCCCCGCAACUGUAUGCAGCGAGUCCACGCCAAUUUGCGCCACUGGUGAUACCGGGAAGGCCCGGCGUGUGCAGCGACCUGUGAGUCAGAAGACCUGCCGGCCAACAGUUCGUGCCA
rnacentral:ncRNA from 1 species